GAUUUCUGGUUUGGCGCACUUGGCCCGUCGCGGUUACGCGUUUGUGUGCCGGUGUGCGCCUGCCAUCCAUCUGGAGAACGCUGUCGCCCUUCACUGGGUGGGCAGUGGUAUCCAGAUCUUUUACUUUGAAAAAAUUAGAGUGUUUAAAGCAGGCUUGUGCUAUGAAUACAUUAGCAUGGAAUAAUAAUUUAGGACUUUUGUUCUAUUUUGUUGGUUUCUAGGACGAAAGUAAUGAUUGAUAGGGAUAGUUGGGGGUGCUAGUAUUCAGCGGCCAGAGGUGAAAUUCUUGGAUUCGCUGAAGACUAACUUAUGCGAAAGCAUU
rnacentral:rRNA from 1 species